rnacentral:rRNA from 1 species
AUUGAACGCUGGCGGCAUGCUUUACACAUGCAAGUCGAACGGCAGCGCGGGCUUCGGCCUGGCGGCGAGUGGCGAACGGGUGAGUAAUGCAUCGGAACGUGCCCAGUAGUGGGGGAUAGCCCGGCGAAAGCCGGAUUAAUACCGCAUACGACCUGAGGGUGAAAGCGGGGGACCGAAAGGCCUCGCGCUAUUGGAGCGGCCGAUGUCGGAUUAGCUAGUUGGUGGGGUAAAGGCUUACCAAGGCGACGAUCCGUAGCUGGUCUGAGAGGACGACCAGCCACACGGGGACUGAGACACGGCCCAGACCCUACGGGAGGCAGCAGUGGGGAAUUUUGGACAAUGGGGGCAACCCUGAUCCAGCCAUGCCGCGUGCGGGAAGAAGGCCUUCGGGUUGUAAACCGCUUUUGUUCGGGAAGAAAUCCUCUGGGCUAAUACCCCGGGGGGAUGACGGUACCGGAAGAAUAAGCACCGGCUAACUACGUG